UACAGAGGGUGCAAGCGUUGCUCGGAUCUACUGGGCGUAAAGCGUACGCAGACGGUGAGAAAGGUCGAUGUGAAAGCCCCGGGCUCAACCCGGGAACUGCAUCCGAAACCAUCUCGCUAGAGUAUGGGAGAGGGAAGCGGAAUUCCUGGUGUAGAGGUGAAAUUCGUAGAUAUCAGGAGGAACACCUGCGGCGAAGGGCGGCUUCCUGG
rnacentral:rRNA from 1 species